GCUGGGGGUGGUGGCGGACGCCUGUAGUCCCAGCUACUCAGGAGGCUGAGGCAGGAGAAUCGCUUGAACCCGGGAGGCUGAGGUUGUAGUGAGCCGAGAUCAGGCCACUGCACUCCAGCCUGGGAGACAGAGCGAGACUCUGUCUCAA
rnacentral:SRP_RNA from 1 species